rnacentral:lncRNA from 1 species
ACCAGCGUUGGUGAAUCCGGCUCAGCCACUCAAGGCCACGAGGCACCUGCCGGUGAUCUUGGAGUGGGAUCUUUGGAGAAGAUUUACGUCGUUGUAGCGCGCAUGUGGUCAAGUGCGCAAUCCUUGUGCGAGCACUUGAUGGACACACUGGUCCCCACUGACUUGCAACCUCGGCUCCGAGCCGCCUGGACAGCCCUACAAGGCGUGGAGUGGACGGCAAUCAUUGGCAGUGAAAAGGCGCGAGUGCUGAUGGCGUCGAUUGUGUGCUUCGCCGUCUCAAGGUUAUGUUGUGGAGGCUGCGCCGAGAUGAACCCAAGCGAUGACGACACAUCGUCAGGGAACGCCGUCCCUGCCACAGUUGCCGGCUGGAAAUCCAUCUUUAGCAUCUUAGGUAUGGCACGUGGAAGGUUCUUAGGUUAUCGGCAUGAAGGCGGCCACAUCUGCCC